ACAAUCUAAAGCUUCUAGUGAAGUGGCCAAUUCUGUAUUUCCUUGGCUACAGCCCUGAGGAAAGAGAGCAUGGCCACUUUUCCAGGUAGAUCGAACACUAUGCUCUCAGACUGAAGGGAGAAUUCUUCUGCUUGGUUUCCUAAUUCAAACUGGGUUUAAUGAUGUUUGUUUUUCUCCUCAGAUGAUUUUGGCCUCUGUGCUCACCUCACUCCUGAGCAGAGCAAACGGAGCUUGUUGGUCGGGACUCUUUACUGGAUGACACCAGAAUAUGUAACAAAAGAUGUAUAUGGCCCCGAAGUGGACAUCUGGUCACUUGACAUUGUGGGAAUAAAAUGGUGGAAGGAGAACCUCCUUACUUUAAGGAAAACCAUUUCAUGAUUUCCAUUUAUGCCCACUGGUUCUCAUCCUGCCACUGGAUCCUGCUCAGAAGACUCUGCUUCCAUCUACCUUGCUUCCUUCCGUCAGGUAUUUAUGCAUUUUGAUGAAAGGUAUACAAUAGUCAACAUUUUGUAUUUCAGUUUCAGCAAAUGCCUGACCAUUAUAUUUUGGUUAGCAGAGAGGGGCACAGUUUGACUUUGAAGUUGUGUCAGGUACAGACUGUCCACAGAGAAGUAAGAAUUAAAUAUCCCUGCCACUUAAGGCCAGAUGUGUGCUUCCUUUUGGGUAAUUGAGGACUGGGACAAGUACAGCAAUUGAGCGGAUUAGCUAAAGUCAGACAUCCCCGAGGGUAGUUAUACCUCAC